AUCAAGAGAAGUUUUGCCUACCAUAGAGACUGCAAUUGUUGAUGACAAGCUUGGAUUCCCAUGGUUCAUUGCCAUAGACAAACUAUUUAACGAAAGAAUUGAUUGCCUAAAGAAGUUAAACAAGCUUGGUGUCUUCUGAUACUGUUACCAAGAACUGUGAAAGCUGUUAUGGAAAUUGGAGAUGAAAUUUUGCUCUGAGACUCCUACACUUUUGAUAGUUUGGCUUUCUCAAUUCCUUAAUUACUCAGAUUUAUUCAAAACAUAUAUGUAGAAUUUCAAAACCCAUAUACUACAAUAUAAUAACCUAAUUUCUUCUUCGAUUAAAACACAAUAUAGAUAAUUUAUCCAGAAAUCUCACACCCGAACGAAGCAACACAACAGUAAAUCUCAAAUCAACACUACUACAGCACCAUCGAAGCCCCUUGGAUUGCAUGUGCUGCUAGACCUAUUGUAGAGAGAAAGAGAACUGAAGACUAGACGGUCUGAUGAAUAACGGAGAAGAAGAAGAAGACUUGAAA
rnacentral:misc_RNA from 1 species